CAUCAGGCAAGCAGGCAGGCAAGAUGAUGUGGGAGACACAGGUCCUUAUGUCCUUAUUGCUCGGGGUCUCAGGUACCUUGGGGGACAUCAUGAUGACCCAGUCUCCAGACUCCUUGGCAGUGUCUCUAGGAGAGAGGGUCGACAUGAAGUGCACGGCCAGUCAGAGUGUUUACCACUACUUAGCCUGGUACCAGCAAAAACCAGGACAGGCUCCUAAGCCCCUCAUCUACUCAGCAUCUACCAGACCAUCUGGGAUCCCUGACCGAUUCAGUGGCAGUGGAUCUGGGACAGAUUUCACUCUCACCAUCAGCAACUUCCAAGCUGAAGAUGCGGCAGUUUAUUGCUGUGAGCAGUAUUAUGGUAAUCCUCCCACAGUGCUUCAGCCUCGAUCACAAACCUCCUCCCCAAACCAUGGAUUUCAGGUCCUGAUGAAGGGUAAGAAUUACUGGCAAUGGCAUACCACAUGGAGUGAAGUCAGGUAGUGUCAGUCCUUUGACUUUGUUCUUCUUCAGUACUGUGUUGGCUCUUCUGGAUUUUUGUGUGGUUCCUUUUAAAGACUGUAAUAUCACCACUUAUAGGGUCCUCUUCCCGCUAGAUAUGUCCGUGUUUGUAAUUCAUUAAAGAAAACAUAUUUGUGCUAAUUUCAAAAUCUGAAAUUCUAGGUGGACUUGCUUAUCUGCUUUCUGUGAUUCUGUUGUUACUCAUGUUGUUCACAUUCUGCUAGUCUCGUUUUCUUAGAUUUCAAGAAACCUCCGACAUCUUGCUCAUGUUGACCUUUCAAAAAUAAUUUGUGAGGUCUCCUGAGAUUGUAGAAUGGAUGUGUCCUCCUGAAGAGAAGUUUUAUGUUUUUUUAUUCCAGGUGCUUGUGGCCUCUACUAGUUGGAUGGGUAAAUCAAGUUCAAAGUUGGAAAGUUCCAGACUCAUUUAGGCCAUGCAUGCUUGGGAUGUGAACCCAUGUGUGGACUGAUCUACAAUCACAACUCCCUAGGGAAGGAUUUUUUUUUCCCUCUUCCUUUCUCCUUUCCUGUUCUGCAACAAACCUAAGCAGUUCUCCUUGCAGUUCAGUUUCCAGCAGUUGAGGAGAGGCUAAAGUUCAGUGUAGAUUUAGUUUGCUCUUUUCCUGAGAGUGGAGUUCUUAGGGGCUCCAGCCUAACGUAUGAUUGAUCUCCCUCAGAACUUCUCACCUGGGCUGUCUCUGGGCCUCCACUUCUGUCUCUCUGGUCUUUACAUGGCCCUGGAACCCAAGCUCAUGGGUUUACAGUGUACAUAGAUGCCUUCAGGACAAAGCAGCUUUAGUAAUAAAAUAUAUUUUCUUACAGAAAAUCCAAAAUUUCCCACUAUCUAUCUUUGCAGAGCUUGAAUGGUUUUAAGGACACACACAGACAUACACACACACUUAUGUGUGUGUGUGUGUUUAACAUAAAUGUUCUUUGUUACAUUGCCUUGUAUUGGUUGUAACUUGUGUAAGAGAAUGCUAUUGAUUUUGGAAAAUAUUUUAUAUUUCAACUGGUUUCUGAAUAUUUAUUGGAAACUGCAGUUUCUAAAUUUAUAUGUCUUUCAUAGUCAAACAGUCACAUUUUCUGAUGUUAUUUUGGCUCUUUCUUUAAAUUACAUACUUCCACACCACUGCUAUGAUUUACUUCCAUAAUCACUAUUUGUUCGCAUGGUCCCCUCUGGGCCCUGGCUGGCUGCCCAGAGCUUUACAAAUGUGCUCUUUCCCUCUGCGACGUGAACUUAGUUGCAUCAGGCAGUGCAAUGGCAGAAAGAUGAUAUCACAGGCCAAGCUCCUCAUGUUUUUGCUGCUCUGGGUCUCAGGUGAGAGAUUUAAAAGUACCUCAGUCUAUCCAGAUUAAUAUUUUUGUUGAUUAGAAAAUGAUUUAAGUUGCAGAGCAAAAUAAGCAUUAUUUCAAAAACAGACCCUAUUAUACUUAAUAGGGUCUGUUCUCGCAUGUAACACUGUAAAAGAUGUUUUAAAAUUUCUUGACAUAAUGCCAGUAUAUAUGGUCACUGUUCAUUCUCGAUUUUAGCUGCCUGUCUGGACAUUGUGAUGGUCCAGUCUUCAGGGUUCCUGGCUGUUUCUACAGGAGAGAGAUUCACCGUCAAGUGCAAGUCCAGCCAGAGCAUUAGAAACUAAUUAGCCUGGUACCAGCAGAAACAAGGAAAGGCUUGGAAACUGCUCACCUCCUGGGCAUCCACCCAGGCACCUGGGGUCCCUGACUGACUCAGUGGCAAUGGACCUGUGACAGAUUUUCACUUUCACUGUCAGCAACCUCCAGGCUGAAGAUGUGGCUGACUUUUACUGUCAGCAUUGUUAUAGCUCUCCUCCUACAGUGCUUCAGCCUUGAACACAAACUUCCUUAGGUCUGCUUGUCAGCAAGUGUCUAAAGCACCAGCUGCUUCCUCCCCUUGCAGCCGCGCGGACUCGUAUACUUUCUCUUCUGCCAGAGAGGCUGUGUAUCCUGACUUAUGGGAUGGUUUGCAGGGCUCAAGAGCUAAUUAUGGCUCUCAGUGUCACUUUGACCCCUCUGUUGUGGAAGCUUCCUACAGAAAAAUGCUGUUAAACCUCUGUAUUAGUUAUCUAUUGCUGCUGUAACGAAUUACUGCAAACUAAGUGGCUUCCCAUUAGAAAUUUAUCAUUCUACAGUUCCUGUGGUCAAAACACCAAAAUGAGUCCCACUGGGCUAAAAUCAAGAUGCUGGCAAGGCUGCUUUCUCUUUUGGAGGUUCUAGGAGAGAAUCUGUUUUCUUGCCUUUGCCAGCUCCUGGAGGCCUCUCAGAUUCCUUGGCGAGUGGCCCCUUCCUCUUAUUCAAAGGCAGCAUCGUUGCGUCUUUCUGACCUUUCUUCUAUAGUCACAUCUUCCUCAGAUCAGAGCCAGGAGACAUUCUCUGCUUUUAAGGAUUUAUAUCAUUAGAUUGGGCCCACCCAGAUAAUCCAGGAGAAUCUCAUCAUCUCAAGGUUCCUUACCUUAAUCACAUCUUCAAAUUUCCUUUUGCCACCCUGUGAGGUAACAUAUUACCAGGUUCCAGGUUUAGGGUCUGGUCAGCCUUGGGGGCCAUUAUCUUGCCUUCUCACAGCUUCCCUUGGACUCUUCUCUUACAUUGCCAGGAACUUUGUCACCAUGUUUUAUUCAGUUAGAUGCACAGGAUUGAACCCAAUCAGGCUCCAGCUUGACUCACUAGUUUACAAGAUCCAAUGAGAUUUAGAUCCUGAUGAACCAUCAUACCCUGAUGAAUCACUUCCUGGUGACUUGUUGCCUCUAAAUUUUCCUAUUUAAUUCCUUCUCAGGCUCCUACUUUCCUCUUUUCCUUGCUAUUAUCCUCCAAAUCUUGGAGCUUCAGGUUCAAAACUUUCACCACAGACCCAGAUCUGUCUCUUGCCCUCCCUCCCUAAAGACUCAUUUUACCGUCCAGGCCUUUUGCUUAAUGUCUUCUGAUUGUGCUUUGUAGUCCUACCUCAGUUUCUUUGCUUAGUACUGCCUUUAUUUUGAAAGCAAAAGAAAGUAAAAGAAAAAAAAGAAGGAAAAUGAUUUCCCUUAUUCAUAUUUCUUCUUUUAAAGAGCAUUCUCUAAUUCUGUAAUCCUAUGUAUCAUUGGGUACAGAUUGCUCCAUGACCUUAAUCCUUCAGUUAUCACAUUUUUUCUCUCGGCUCUGACAUUUCCUAUCCAAGUGACCUUGAGUAAGUUGCUUAACUCCUCAGUGGCAUGUUUUCUUACAUGUGAAAUGGUUACAAUAAUUGUAUCUAUUUUUAAUGAUUGGUGUGAGGCAAAAUGAGUCAACAUAUAUAAAAUGUUUGGACCCUUCGAUGUGAAAGUGCCUGGGCACUAUUCUCAUUAUCAUGCUUCACAAGUGGCUCUUUCUUCCCAGUUUAUUACCAUCCUCAAUUUUUAUCAUAUUAAUAAAUAUAUUCUCAAACCUCAGGAGUCUUCCAGCUACUGAUUUAACUUACAUUUGUUGCUUCCGUUUCUUUGUCUGAUCUCCUCUUGAAUACUCUUGCACAGCCUUGAUUUUCAACCCAUCACACAUUGAAAGUCAGCCAUGAGUCUUGAAUAAUUUUCAGAUUGAAUAGGAAUCUUUUUAGUCAUUAGCUGGGUUGUCAUUACUUGGCUAUUUGGAUAACGAUAGUAUCAUUUAUGAUAUGCUUUACAGUUCUCACUUAAUACUGAUAAAAACCAUGUGAAAUAGAUUUUAUCCUUAUAAAAAUCUCACUGGAGUUGCUUGCAGGCUGCAGCAGUGGUCCCCAAAUGCCCAUUCACUGACUGGGGCAGAGAGACUACCAAAGAAAACUCUGGGGACCUUGAUAAAAUACAGAUUCCCCAACCCCAAUUCUGGGAAUCCUGACCAAUUUGACUGGAUUGUGGCUCAAGAUUCAUAUUGUUAACAAGUUUCCCUGCUGAUUCUGAUAUGCAGCUUAUCUGAGAAACACUGAUCAUCCUUGUUGAUUAUGAGAUUUUGCGUAAGAAACUUUCUUUGAGUUCAUUCAUUUAUAGAGUAAUCUUACCUGAAACAAUCGUGUUUUAUAUCAAUUGCCUUAGUGUCUUGUCAAGUUAAGCAUUUUCCCCAGACUUUUAAUUUUCUAAUAAAGUGUCAUUAUUAAUAUAGUUCUUUGUAUUACAGUAAGUCAAAACAGUUUUAAAUCUCUCUCUCUCUCUUGUUUUUACUCACAGUUUCUCCAUGGUCAUUUAAGAUGUGGUCAAAUUUCAGAGGGAUCAGCAACAACCCAUCUCACUUGCCCUAGGUCUUUUCCUUUUCAUCUUGGAACAGUUAACUUCUCCUGCUCUCAGAUGGUGAUAGUGAAAUAGGGUCAUGUGUGGCUUAAUGAUGAGAAUAUGUUCUGAGAAAUAUGUCAUUAGGAAAUUUCAUCAUUGUGUGAACAUCAUAGAGCAAACACAAAGCUAGCUGUUAUAGCCUACUACACACCUGGUUAUGCGGCACUAAUCAUAUGCAGUCUAUUGCUGACCAAAAUGUCAUUACAUGGUGCAUGACAGUAUUUGAUGCUCUGUCCCUGUCAGAUUCUUUGCCAGUCAAUGGUGCCUUGGUCUACUCUCUGGUCUUAAAGAUGAAUAUAAAUUCUUACAGUCUGCUUGGAGAUAGUAUUUUGCCACCUCAAGAAAACUGUAGGAGCUCUGGAAAAACAUUGAUGUCUUUAGCUUUCUCCUUUACAUACUGUACCACCAUAUACAUUUUAAUCUCCACUGGACAUUGCUAUGUUAUUUGCUUUCAACAAUCAUACAUGUUUUAAAGUACUUAGGAGGAGAGAAAGAGUCUGUUAUAUUUACUCAGAUAUUUAUCACUUAUGUUGCAUUUUUCUUCAUUCCUGAAGUUCCAAGUUUCCUCUAGUAUUAUUUCUCUUCAGACUCAAGAACUUUCUUUCAUAUUUCUUUUAAAGGAGGUAUGCUAGCAACAAAUUCUCUUGCUUUUCCUUCAUCACAGUGUGUCUUCAUUUCCCAUUAUUCCCAAAGCAUAUUUUCACUAGAUGUAGAAUUUCUGUUGGUAUUUCUUCUGUUUUUCACUUUGAGUCUAUCAUUCCAUUGUCUUCUGUUUUUCAUGGAUUCCAAUGAGAAGUAUGCAGACAUUUGAAUUGUUGUGUUUCCCUCUAUACAUCACUUUCAAUAAAUGGCAAAAAUUUUACAACUGAAAGAGAAAGAAGAGUAACAAAACACACAAAUCCAGCCAUAUGUCGUUUAAAUGAGAUGUAUCUAAAACAAAUACAUAAAAUGAUUUGACAACUAAUGCAAUUGAUGAAGAUGUCAGGCCACUGCUAACAGAAGGAGAGACAAUAUGUAAUAUCAGAAAAAUAGAAUUAUAGGAAAGAUUACUUCCAGGGACAAAAUCAAAUAUAAUAAAUGGUGUAUAACAAGAUGAUCAAUUAUAAGACUGAAGAGCCCUGAGUAUGGGAAAGACAUUUAUAUCAGAUCGAUUUGUUUUUGUGCAUAUAUUUUAGGAAGCAUGGGAGCAAGGCAGUGGAUAUUGUGACUGCCAGUUUUUCUAAGAACAAGUGAUAGUGAGCCUUGGCACGCAAGGAGCAGCUAUGUCCCUUGGGACUCAGGGAUCAGUAGCAGC